ACUUUCCUAGUAUAUCCCAGUACGGCUGACUUCCAAUCACCUAGUCUCAGUUUUAAGUCUGAGGGAGAGUA
rnacentral:tRNA from 1 species